AUGUGGUUGCUGGGAAUUGAACUC
rnacentral:piRNA from 2 species